rnacentral:rRNA from 1 species
UAGGGAAUCUUCCACAAUGGACGCAAGUCUGAUGGAGCAACGCCGCGUGAGUGAAGAAGGUUUUCGGAUCGUAAAGCUCUGUUGUUGGUGAAGAAGGAUAGAGGUAGUAACUGGCCUUUAUUUGACGGUAAUCAACCAGAAAGUCACGGCUAACUACGUGCCAGCAGCCGCGGUAAUACGUAGGUGGCAAGCGUUGUCCGGAUUUAUUGGGCGUAAAGCGAGCGCAGGCGGAAGAAUAAGUCUGAUGUGAAAGCCCUCGGCUUAACCGAGGAACUGCAUCGGAAACUGUUUUUCUUGAGUGCAGAAGAGGAGAGUGGAACUCCAUGUGUAGCGGUGGAAUGCGUAGAUAUAUGGACGAACACCAGUGGCGAAGGCGACUCUCUGGUCUGCAACUGACGCUGAGGCUCGAAAGCAUGGGUAGCGAACAGG